rnacentral:misc_RNA from 1 species
UUAUGAUUGUCAGCGUUGGUUUGUGUUGUUAUCUUUUUCUUCUGUUUUGUUUUCUUUCCCUCCCAACUGAGAGAAAGAAAAACAAAAAAGUAAUGAACGACAUCAACACCACCCAAAAGCGGCAUAAAGUGCAACAUCUCGACACCCCUCGCCCCGAGACCAAAAAUAUAUGGAAAAGAGAACGAGCUGCGCUGUGAGUGCAGCAUGCGGUGCGCAACACCAUACCGUAAACGACAAGGAGAGAGAUGGUGAAAGAAAGGAGGGGCACGCGAAGGCGCACGAGGAGGAGAUGUGCUGGUGCUAAUAAUGAAGGAAAAUGUGGAUGUGUGGACAAAACACCCACACACUCACUCCCUACGCAAAAUCGGGCACAUACACACAACGCAUGCUUUCUGGGCAAGGACGAAGAACGCGUAAAAAAAAAGAUAACGAGCGUGAGAGAGACAAGCACCAGGCAACUCGUCAUUUUAAUGCGGUAGAAGACAAAAUGAACGAUCUCUGUGUGCAUGUUUAUGUGCGUGCCUGUUACGCGUCUUCUACGUUUUUUUCCUUGUACUAAUUUUCUUUGCUUUUUUUCUUUUUCUGUUUUGUACUCAGUCUUCAGGCUCACCAUCUUCUUUUUUUUUUCGUCUUCGCUCCCUAUUUAUUUAUCGUGUGCGUGUGUAUGCGCCUGAGGGCGCCUAUGUCUCUCUUGCCCUAUUGCGCGUUGGCGUUGUCGUUCUGCACUUUUUUUUUAUUCGGUGAGGGUAUCGUCAAUUCCAUACACAGUUGUCUAAACUUCCUCAUACAGUUUUAUGCCGUACUCGUUUUUGUUUUGUUUUUUCCUGUGCUUUCAGUUAUGUCUUCAUCUUUUUUGCCUUCCUGUGCCAUUCUUGUUCUCUCAGGCGUGCGUGUGUGUGUGUGUGUGUGUGUGAUCUCCCUUCUUUCUCUGACGCGCCUGUAUGUGAAGUGCUCGCUGUGAGGUUUGUAUUGUUUUCCAACGUCUCGUUUCUUUUUCUGUUUUUCUCCUUCGCCUCCAUGCUUCGUUUUUGUAUAUCUGUCGUUGGGGGCGCCACUCCCCCCCCCUUUCCACUCAGAGAUGCGGUGGUAGGCGAAUCGCAAGAGAAGCACAUGGACGGAUUAGGAAGCAGAAUAUCACGCGAGAACGAAAAAGGCGCAACGCACAGACAGACACACACACACCAUCUGUAGGUGGAAAGCACCUUUGUGAUCGCGCACACUCACUCACACAGAAAACGCGCGAAGCGACAAGCUCCAAAAGAAGAAGAGCAAAAAAAAAGAGAAUGAAGCAAGUAAAGUACAUCUAUGAAAAAUUUCUUGUUUUAUUUGAAACGGUCAAAAGCGAACAACGUUGAGCCCCUCGCACGUUCUAUCCACCCCAUGUGUGAAUGCCUAUCUCUUUCGCUUCCUGUGUCAGCGGCGGACUCCAUCACGCUGUUUCUCUCACCUUUUUUUGCCCCCCCCCAAAAAAAAAACUUUCAUGUUUUUCUCUGUCCUCCAUUUCUCUCGAUGCCGGUGCGCCAGUGUGUACCUCAAAUCUGCCCUACACUGUUUUCGUUUUCUCGCUGUUGAUCUUCCUGUUGAGAGACUCUCUCUCCCCACUCCCACCCCCACAAAAAAAGGCCUCCCCCUUCCCUGCAUCCCUCCCUCCCUCGAAAAGAAAAACGGAAAGGAACUGCAGCGCACACAAAACCGUCAUCACGUGACACACCCACGCACAAAAAAAAUGAGCGCAGCCGAAAGGGGAUGCGGUGACGCGCUACUCUUUUACAUGGUGGCCAAGGGGCGAGGGAAAUAGAUUGCUGUGGGGACGGUGAGGGCAGGACGCAGCGCGUUGUCUUGGGUAGCAGCUGUG